ensembl:lncRNA PCBP1-AS1 PCBP1 antisense RNA 1
CGCCAUGUUUCCUGAACACAAAAUGGCGACACGUGGUUAGCAUUCGUCGCCAACGAGAAAUUGGGGUCGGCCCGAAAGCUCUAGAAUGCACCCCUCUUCCUCCCCGGGGCCUUCCACCUCCGCGAGUUUUAUGACUUAAAAAAGCCCACAGGCUGGUCUGAAGAGGAAGACAAACAUAAAGAUGAAGUGCUUAAUUCAAGGUCACACAAUGUCGGGGAUGGACCUCCAGAUUUCCUUACUGGUGAGACGUGGUCUUGUAACACAGUGGUUAAGAAUGUGACUUUGGAGCCAGCCUGCUAGGGGCUGAAUUCUGACUCAGCCAUUUACUAACUGUGUGACCUUAGGUCACAGAAUUUUCCACACUCCUUGACAGAGGUGCUUAACCCUUAUCCAUCAGCAUUCUCAGACAGCACCUCCGGUUAGGGACAGUAUCUGACCGUCCGACAUCCCUGCAGCCCCCAUGUGUCACACAGACUCAGCCUCAGGUAGAUGGUUUCCGUAGAUGGUGGCUUUCUUUGGACCCUUGACAUCAACCAGUUACUAUUUGACUCUUCUGCAGAACCCCAUGUUGACCCCUGCUUUGAGGUGGCAGAGUUAACACUACUCUUCGUUAUAAGCUCUCGUCUGGGGCAACUCAGAAGAACGGGACCAGAUGUGCAGAGGUAAUGAAUACCAGGGAAUCAGGAAACCACUGGAUCAGUUCUUUGAGCCACAGAACAACACUCAUCCCAGCAGCUGGGAAGCUAUCUGCAAAAGUCCAUCUGCAGAAAGGGCUUCCUGGUCUUGCGUGUGGCUGGGCCAUUUCUCUGGAUGCAGGUUUUUCAUUAUACAGUCUUCUCAAAGAACCACCUGCUCUCAACACCUUCUCGGUGACUCCAUUUCCCCUCCUCUGGGCUCCUGGAAUGCCACAAUGGCCCCACCUUAGCCAGGCAGCUGUGAUGAGAGGUGUUGACCCAACUGCCUCUCUGCUGGCUCACUGAAUCAGGUGGAAGGGGCUGGGGACAGCACAGUCUUGCAUUGUGGUUGGGGACCUGGGCCAUCCAGAGGCAGGACUGUCCAAAGGCAGGGUACUGCUGGGAUUCCGCCAGGCACUGGGUGAUGCAUGGCAUAGGGAGCUGAAGAGGGACAGGCUCUUGGCCAGGAAAAACAGCCCCAGAGCCACAGGUGUGCCAUCGAGUCUUCCUCCUCUCCCAUCCUUAAUCACUCCUGUUUGGUGACAGCACACAGCUAGGCCUGGAGCCCAGCAAAGAGCCCCUGGGUCCCAGAGGAAGUUGUUCUGGGGGCUGGAGACAAUCACAAAUGCCAGGUUUGUGAGCCCCAGACUCUGGUUCAUAGCAAGAGGCAGACUUGUGAACAAACCACCAGAUCACACCGUAAAACACGCUCAACGAGGAGUGGGUGCCCUUUCUAGGGACAGGCAGAAGGCUCCAUGGAGUGACCUUUGAAUGGGGACAUAAAAGUGGAUCCCUUCAACAGCCCCUGCACAGCCCCAAGUCAGGCCUCCAGCCCUUGGACUCACAGAUGUCCUCUGUAGACGACUGGAUGUCCUCCCGUGCUACCCUUUACCCCUGCAGCGAGGGGCACAGAGCCAGAGCCCUCCAGGUCCUCACCACUGGCAUCACCAACAUAGUGGACAUUUUCCCUCUCAGAAUGAAAAGGGAGUGAAAUUUCCCGUGAUCUUUCCACAAAUGACCAGCUUGGGGAGUGGGAGAGGAAGUGCUGCAGUGCCUGGGGAAGGGGCCCUGGAACAGUUCCUGGAAAUGGAGAGGGGUGGAUAGGGUGGAGACAAUGCUCAUGGAGUGCAGUAUGGGGCCUACCCAGAGUUGCUUGGCCACCCCUCUGCCUCUGAAUCAGGGGUGAUCAAUGAAGGAAAAUUACUGCAGCAGUUGAGUCCAUGUAAGAUGAUUGUGCACGUGUGUGUGUGUGUGUGUGUGUGUGUGUGUGUCCUCACUCACUUAAAAAAGACCAUUUCUGUGCAUUCUUUAUGCUGGAACCCUCCUCUGCCUCCCUCUCCAGGAAAUCCCAUAGGAUCCCAUACCUGCUUUAGAAUGUGUGUGAGACACUUCCCAGUGCCUGGCAUGUGGUAGGAGCUCAGUACAUGUAAACUGUUUUCCUUUGACCACUCAAAGUAGUCACUUGUUGGGGAGGCCAAUGGCGGCUUCCCCGGUCUCUGAGCUGAUGGGCGUCUGGUCCCUGCCUCCCCUUCCUUCACUGGCUGAUGACAAAUACCUGAAUGUCAUCACAUCCUCCGUGUCCUCAUCUGUUAUUCUGGAACACAGGCCAGGGAGGGUACAGGGUAGUCCCCCUUCAACAGAGGCUGGCCUUUCUUGGGAUGUGGGCUGGCUGGUGUUGGUCCAAGGAUGGAUGCAGAGGGUGAGGCACCCAUCCUGCUAGUCCGGCCGGAUGCUGGCAGGAGGGCGGGGUGAGGAGGGGCGGAGCUUCCAGAACAAAGGAGAAUGGGGAGCCCAGGGGCCAGCCUAGGCAUCAAAAAGGCUCUGCAGAGUGAACAGGCCACAGCACUGCCUGCCUCUGCCCCAGCAGUCAGCCAGCCGACCGCGCCUGCUCCCUCCUGCUUGCCCAAGGCCGGGCAAGUCAUCCCCACUCUGCUUCGAGAGGCCCCGUUUUCCAGCGUGAUUGCGCCGACACUGCUCUGUGGGUUUCUCUUCUUGGCGUGGGUUGCUGCUGAGGUUCCAGAGGAGAGCAGCAGGAUGGCCGGGAGCGGAGCCAGGAGUGAGGAAGGCCGCCGGCAGCAUGCCUUCGUCCCGGAACCUUUUGAUGGGGCCAAUGUCGUCCCAAACCUCUGGCUGCACAGCUUUGAAGUCAUCAAUGACCUCAACCAUUGGGACCAUAUCACCAAGCUAAGGUUCCUGAAAGAGUCCCUCAGAGGAGAGGCCCUGGGUGUCUACAAUAGGCUCAGUCCCCAGGACCAGGGAGACUAUGGGACUGUGAAAGAGGCCCUCCUGAAGGCCUUUGGGGUCCCUGGGGCUGCCCCCAGCCACCUGCCCAAAGAGAUCGUCUUUGCCAACAGCAUGGGUAAGGGCUACUAUCUCAAGGGGAAGAUUGGCAAAGUGCCCGUGAGGUUCCUGGUGGACUCUGGGGCCCAGGUCUCUGUGGUCCACCCAAACUUGUGGGAGGAGGUCACUGAUGGCGAUCUGGACACCCUGCAGCCCUUUGAGAAUGUGGUAAAGGUGGCCAAUGGUGCUGAAAUGAAGAUCCUGGGUGUCUGGGAUACAGCGGUGUCCCUAGGCAAGCUGAAGCUGAAGGCACAGUUCCUAGUGGCCAAUGCGAGUGCCGAGGAAGCCAUCAUUGGCACUGAUGUGCUCCAGGACCACAAUGCUAUCCUGGACUUUGAGCACCGCACAUGCACCCUGAAAGGGAAGAAGUUUCGCCUUCUGCCUGUGGGAGGGUCCCUGGAAGAUGAGUUUGACCUGGAGCUCAUAGAGGAGGACCCCUCCUCAGAAGAAGGGCGGCAGGAGCUAUCCCACUGAGAAGCCACCUUUUCUUUAACCUCCUAAAUAUUGGUGGGAAGACCCACCGCUGUGGGGGGGGUUGCAUAUCCUCAUGGGGGUCACUGGGCUUGGCCAGUCUGCUUAUCAACUCUUGCUCUUCUCUCCCCUUUGCCUCCCUCUGCAGGGGCCUUAAUCUGCCCCUGGUAGGGGAGGCUUCCACUGAACAGGCACAGGUGAGGGAGAGCAGGCUGGCUUAGAGGGACAGGGUCCCCAUGGUCAUCAAGCUGCUGUUGAUGACAAAGACUCAAAGGCUGGAAGAGCUCCCAAGGAAGCUAGAAAUGCUUGUCUUUGAAAGAACUGUGGGACCCCUUCAGAUUCCCUGAGGUAUGGCUUGGUCACUCUCAGGUCCUCAAAGCCUGUCUUAGUUGGGCUGGGUCCUAGCUGCAGGGUCUUUGUGAGGGUCACAGUUGCUCUGGGACACCUCCCUGAAGAGCCUUUCCACCUGUACAAUCGUAUUUUCUUUCUGUCAUUUGCUUUGAAGCCCAUUGUGCCUUAUGCCAAUAAUUCAAUUGCUGCAAACACCAAUAAAGAU